rnacentral:misc_RNA from 1 species
AANAAAGGAGGCUUUGGGUCACCUCCCACCCGUGUUUAUUUACCUCGUUGCUUCGGCGGGCCCGCCUUAACUGGCCGCCGGGGGGCUCACGCCCCCGGGCCCGCGCCCGCCGAAGACACCCCCGAACUCUGCCUGAAGAUUGUCGUCUGAGUGAAAAUAUAAAUUAUUUAAAACUUUCAACAACGGAUCUCUUGGUUCCGGCAUCGAUGAAGAACGCAGCGAAAUGCGAUACGUAAUGUGAAUUGCAAAUUCAGUGAAUCAUCGAGUCUUUGAACGCACAUUGCGCCCCCUGGUAUUCCGGGGGGCAUGCCUGUCCGAGCGUCAUUGCUGCCCUCAAGCCCGGCUUGUGUGUUGGGCCCCGUCCUCCGAUUCCGGGGGACGGGCCCGAAAGGCAGCGGCGGCACCGCGUCCGGUCCUCGAGCGUAUGGGGCUUUGUCACCCGCUCUGUAGGCCCGGCCGGCGCUUGCCGAUCAACCCAAAUUUUUAUCCAGGUUGACCUCGGAUCAGGUAGGGAUACCCGCUGAACUUAAGCAUAUCAAUAAGCCGGAGGAAA